UACGAAGGGGGCUAGCGUUGUUCGGAUUUACUGGGCGUAAAGCGCACGUAGGCGGCUCGUUAAGUUGGGGGUGAAAUCCUGGAGCUCAACUCCAGAACUGCCUUCGAUACUGGCGAUCUCGAGUCCGGAAGAGGUGAGUGGAACUCCUAGUGUAGAGGUGGAAUUCGUAGAUAUUAGGAAGAACACCAGUGGCGAAGGCGGCUCACUGGUCCGGUACUGACGCUGAGGUGCGAAAGCGUGGGGAGCAAACAGG
rnacentral:rRNA from 1 species